UACGUAGGGGGCUAGCGUUGUCCGGAUUUAUUGGGCGUAAAGAGCGUGUAGGCGGCCAUGUAGGUCCGGUGUGAAAACUCGAGGCUUAACCUCGAGAUGUCAUCGGAAACCAUUUGGCUAGAGUCCGGAAGAGGAGAGUGGAAUUCCUGGUGUAGCGGUGAAAUGCGCAGAUAUCAGGAAGAACACCAAUGGCGAAAGCAGCGCUCUGGGACGGUACUGACGCUGAGACGCGAAAGCGUGGGGAGCGAACAGG
rnacentral:rRNA from 1 species